UACGGAGGGUGCAAGCGUUAUCCGGAUUCACUGGGUUUAAAGGGUGCGUAGGUGGGCAGGUAAGUCAGUGGUGAAAUCUCCGGGCUUAACCCGGAAACUGCCGUUGAUACUAUUUGUCUUGAAUGUUGUGGAGGUAAGCGGAAUAUGUCAUGUAGCGGUGAAAUGCUUAGAUAUGACAUAGAACACCAAUUGCGAAGGCAGCUGGCUACACGAAUAUUGACACUGAUGCACGAAAGCGUGGGGAUCAAACAGG
rnacentral:rRNA from 1 species